rnacentral:rRNA from 1 species
GUUGACCUCGGAUCAGGUAGGGAUACCCGCUGAACUUAAGCAUAUCAAUAAGCGGAGGGAAAAGAAACCAACAGGGAUUGCCUCAGUAACGGCGAGUGAAGCGGCAAGAGCUCAAAUUUGAAAGCUGGGCCUUUCAGGUCCCGCAUUGUAAUUUGCAGAGGAUGCUUCGGGAGUGGUCCCCAUCUAAGUGCUCUGGAACGGGCCGUCAUAGAGGGUGAGAAUCCCGUAUGGGAUGGGGGUGUCCACGCCCGUGUGAAGCUC